ACAGUUUUUAAUGGGCUUGCAAUAUCAUAUAUGUAUCAUAUGUGACCCUCUCUUACCACGUUCAAUUUGCUAUGUGCUCUAAUACAGCACGCCGAGCAUAAAAAGCACACCUUGCGAUGUCUACCCAAAGCUAUUGCCUACCAGAUAGAAUGGAAGGAACAGGUCAGAUCCUGGGUCACAGAGGUGGUGUACCUUACCGAGUGGGAGGCACAAUGGUGAUUUAUGAAGUUCAGACGACACGGGCAGUGCUAUGGGCAUAGCUUCCACCUCAGGCCUGAACAAGGAAAUGUAACUCAGCGUUGCUUCAUUUUGUUACGAAGACCUCUUUUCCACUGGAAGAAAAGCUCUCUUUACCCGGCACAUUUCAUCUCAUGGAAUAUACUCACACAAAGGAGAUGCUUUAUGAAGACACCCAGUUUAAUAAUAUACAAUGUAGGUCACGUUGCUUGAAGAGGAGCCUUGAAUCUGCCCCUGAACUACUUGUGUGUUCCCCGUGGUCAUGAGCUAAGCCACUGGCUUCAACAAGCUUUCUCUGCCAUGAAGUGUUCCCUCACCACAGGCCCCACGGCAACACACAACGGCCCAAGACUUCUAAAGCCGCCAAUCAAAAUAAACUUUCGCUGACUCACAGAGAGCCGUGGUGAAUCCUACGACACAGAGAUUCACAGAGAGCGGUUACUGAAGCCUACAGGCAGCGUCUCAGGAGUCAUUCAUUCACUCUCUCUUGCAGUACGCCUAUCCGAUUCUUGCCCCAGGAAAACUGUCCUUUCUCUCCUGCAGCAGGGCAUCCAGAUGGCUACUCGGAUACCUCAGAUUAUGAAAAAGUCUACUCUGGCUUGAGCUUGAUUCUCCCAAAUUCAGAUAUCGCAAACUUAAUCUACAACUCCACCAAUUUGGGAUGUGGGGACUUAGCGGGCAGUAUUUAGGUCAUGGUGGAUUAAUGUGAUAAAAGGCUCUCCAACUCUCGCCUGUCAUGCUUAACGCACGUUCGUGUAGAACCUGGCGCUAAACCAUUCGUAGACGACCUGCUUCUGGGUUGGGGUUUCGUACAUAGCAGAGCAGCUCCCUUGCUGCGAUCUAUUGAAAGUCAGCCCUCGACACAAGGG
rnacentral:sRNA from 1 species